CACGGGGGGAGCAAGCGUUGUUCGGAAUCACUGGGCGUAAAGGGCGUGUAGGCGGUCAGGUAAGUGGGACGUGAAAUCCCUCGGCUCACCCGAGGACCUGCGUCCCAUACUGCUUGGCUUGAGUAUGGGAGAGGAUGAGGGAAUUCCUGGUGUAGCGGUGAAAUGCGUAGAUAUCUGGAGGAACACCGGUGGCGAAGGCAGCAUCCUGGACCGGCAUUGACGCUGAGACGCGAAAGCCAGGGGAGCAAACGGG
rnacentral:rRNA from 1 species